AAGUCGUAACAAGGUUUCCGUAGGUGAACCUGCGGAAGGAUCAUUAUUGUAUUCACCUGCGAUGCUGUUGCUGGCUCCUUGUGGGCAUGUGCACGCUUCGUAAGUUAAUUUCAACCACCUGUGAACCUUUUGUAGUCUUGGGUGACGCUAUAAGUCAAAGGAAACUUUGGAUUUGAAUGCUGCUGGCUUGUAAAAAGGUCAACUUCAUUCUACAGCAGAGCCCGGGUACUAUGCUUUACACACCCCAUUGUAUGUCAUAGAAUGUAAUUCAAGGGCUUCAAUGCCUUUAAACUUAAUACAACUUUCAGCAACGGAUCUCUUGGCUCUC
rnacentral:misc_RNA from 1 species